rnacentral:snRNA from 1 species
CUGUUUACCUGGCAGGAAAUGAUCAUGAAGGUGGCUUUUCCGGGGCCUGGCUUAUCCAUUGCACUCUGGAUGUGCUGACCCCUCCGAUUUCACUGACUGUGGGAAACUCAAGUGCAUUAUUUGUGGUAUUGGGGGACUUUGCAUUCAUGCUGUUCCCUG